rnacentral:lncRNA from 1 species
AAGAUAUUGAAGAACCAGUAUCCUAAAAUAAAAUCUCAGAAACCAUACUUAACAAUUUGUACUAACAAAACUUGUAUCGUAAACCAAGAUAGUGUGAGAAAUGAGGAGAAAAGUCACAACAACAGAGAAGAAAAAUCAAAUCUACAUUUUCUAUUUCCAGAAUAAAAAGAAAACACAAAAGGCUUAGAUGAAAAGGCUGAGGUUAUGGCUUAGUUGUAAAGCACUUGCCUAGCAUGUGUGAGGCACUGGGUUCAAUUCUCAGCACCACAUAUAAAUAAUUAAAAUUAUUGACAUUGAUAAUAAUUUUAUUGUCAAUAAAUAAAUACAUUGACAACUAAAAAAUAUUUUUUUUAAAAAAGGCUUAGAUGAAAAGGAAUAAUGGUCAGAAAAGACACUGAAUAACACUAAAAUCAUGAUGCAAGAAUUAAAGCAUGCACUGGGGGCAGUGAAGAGCAAAAAGGCAGAAACUGAAACAGGAAACAGUGGUUAUUUAACUAGUGCAUAUUGAGGGCUAAUAUGAUAGGCAGAGCACAAGGCAGUAGAAAUUCAUCUUCAUAAAUAAGUCGUGAGAUGGACAAGCCCAAACACUGCUCAUGAGGGUCGGAGCUGGUAACACUUUACUGGAAACCAUUUUGGCAAUAUGAGUCAGGGGAGCCUUAAAUCACAUAAUCACAAGUCUAUGAAAAUAAUAAAUAGAUAUGAUCAUGGUCAUAUAGGAUUUAUAUUAGAAAUAGAUUUACAUUAU